rnacentral:rRNA from 1 species
CUAUCGCUUACAGAUGGGCCCGCGGUGCAUUAGCUAGUUGGUAGGGUAAUGGCCUACCAAGGCAACGAUGCAUAGCCGACCUGAGAGGGUGAUCGGCCACACUGGGACUGAGACACGGCCCAGACUCCUACGGGAGGCAGCAGUAGGGAAUCUUCCGCAAUGGACGAAAGUCUGACGGAGCAACGCCGCGUGUAUGAAGAAGGUUUUCGGAUCGUAAAGUACUGUUGUUAGAGAAGAACAAGGAUAAGAGUAACUGCUUGUCCCUUGACGGUAUCUAACCAGAAAGCCACGGCUAACUACGUGCCAGCAGCCGCGGUAAUACGUAGGUGGCAAGCGUUGUCCGGAUUUAUUGGGCGUAAAGCGCGCGCAGGCGGUCUUUUAAGUCUGAUGUGAAAGCCCCCGGCUUAACCGGGGAGGGUCAUUGGAAACUGGAAGACUGGAGUGCAGAAGAGGAGAGUGGAAUUCCACGUGUAGCGGUGAAAUGCGUAGAUAUGUGG